rnacentral:misc_RNA from 1 species
GAUGAAGAACGCAGCGAAAUGCGAUAAGUAAUGUGAAUUGCAGAAUUCAGUGAAUCAUCGAAUCUUUGAACGCAACUUGCGCUCUCUGGUAUUCCGGAGAGCAUGCCUGUUUGAGUGUCAUGAACACCUCAACUCUUCAUGGUUUUCCGUGAUGAGCUUGGACUUUGGGGGUCUUGCUGGCCUAUGGUCAGCUCCUCUAAAAUAAAUCAGCUUGCCAGUGUUUGGUGGGUAUCACAGGUGUGAUAACUAUCUACGCUUGUGGUUUUCCACCAGGUAACCUUCAGCAGUGGAGGUUCGCUGGAGCUCACAGAUGUGUCUCUCCUCAGUGAGGACAGCUCUUUGAAUGUUUGAUCUCAAAUCAGGUAGGACUACCCGCUGAACUUAAGCAUAUCAAUAAGCGGAGGA